AUGCAGUCGAACGAUGAAGCCUCACUUGUGGGGUGGAUUAGUGGCGAACGGGUGAGUAACACGUGAGCAACCUGCCCCUGACUCUGGGAUAAGCGCUGGAAACGGCGUCUAAUACUGGAUACGAACAAGAAUCGCAUGGUUACUUGUUGGAAAGAUUUUUUGGUUGGGGAUGGGCUCGCGGCCUAUCAGCUUGUUGGUGAGGUAAUGGCUCACCAAGGCGUCGACGGGUAGCCGGCCUGAGAGGGUGACCGGCCACACUGGGACUGAGACACGGCCCAGACUCCUACGGGAGGCAGCAGUGGGGAAUAUUGCACAAUGGGCGGAAGCCUGAUGCAGCAACGCCGCGUGAGGGAUGACGGCCUUCGGGUUGUAAACCUCUUUUAGCAGGGAAGAAGCGAAAGUGACGGUACCUGCAGAAAAAGCGCCGGCUAACUACGUGCCAGCAGCCGCGGUAAUACGUAGGGCGCAAGCGUUAUCCGGAAUUAUUGGGCGUAAAGAGCUCGUAGGCGGUUUGUCGCGUCUGCUGUGAAAUCCCGAGGCUCAACCUCGGGCCUGCAGUGGGUACGGGCAGACUAGAGUGCGGUAGGGGAGAUUGGAAUUCCUGGUGUAGCGGUGGAAUGCGCAGAUAUCAGGAGGAACACCGAUGGCGAGG
rnacentral:rRNA from 1 species